CCGCAGCAGAAUAGGAGAGUGAGGAAGACUAAGCACUACCUGUCUUCGUUGCCCGCCACCCCCACACCCCCUCCCAAGAAGCAAACCCCAAAGUGAGGUUGUCAAUACAAGGAGUUUAUUCUGGAGCUGAUCGAUGUGUUCUUCUUCCUGUUCCUCUUUGCGGUGUGGAUGGUGGCCUUCGGCGUGGCCAGGCAAGGGAUCCUUAGGCAGAAUGAGCAGCGCUGGAGGUGGAUAUUCCGUUCGGUCAUCUACGAGCCCUACCUGGCCAUGUUCGGCCAGGUGCCCAGUGACGUGGAUGGUACCACGUAUGACUUUGCCCACUGCACCUUCACUGGGAAUGAGUCCAAGCCACUGUGCGUGGAGCUGGAUGAGCACAACCUGCCCCGGUUCCCCGAGUGGAUCACCAUCCCCCUGGUGUGCAUCUACAUGUUAUCCACCAACAUCCUGCUGGUCAACCUGCUGGUCGCCAUGUUUGGCUACACGGUGGGCACCGUCCAGGAGAACAAUGACCAGGUCUGGAAGUUCCAGAGGUACUUCCUGGUGCAGGAGUACUGCAGCCGCCUCAAUAUCCCCUUCCCCUUCAUCGUCUUCGCUUACUUCUACAUGGUGGUGAAGAAGUGCUUCAAGUGUUGCUGCAAGGAGAAAAACAUGGAGUCUUCUGUCUGCU
rnacentral:sRNA from 1 species